UACGAAGGGUGCAAACGUUGCUCGGAAUUAUUGGGCGUAAAGCGCACGUAGGCGGCUUAGCAAGUCGGAAGUGAAAUCCCACGGCUCAACCAUGGAAGUGCUUUCGAAACUGCUGAGCUUGAGUACUAAAGAGGAUCGCGGAAUUCCCGGUGUAGAGGUGAAAUUCGUAGAGAUCCGGAAGAACACCGGUGGCGAAGGCGGUCUGCUGGGCAGUAGCUGACACUGAGGCGCGACAGCGUGGGGAGCAAACAGG
rnacentral:rRNA from 1 species